CUAGCUCCCACACUCCAUGGCCUUGCUUGCAUAGCGAGUGAGCAGAUUAUAUGUCGGCGCCCACCAAUCAGGGGAUUCUACCUGCCUGAGGCGAUGAUAUGAACUCACAUUCUGGAUCUUUCGAAUUCGGGACAAAAUAAGAGGAAAUUGUUCCGACUCGUGGAAUGCAUCGGGACUUGUGUUUUACAGGAUUAGUGCAUUCCUCUCCUGGCGAAUGUCCUUCCAUGCUUCUGAGUUGGGCUCCUUCGACGCGUGAUUUGUUUUUCUUUUCGGGCUGUCGUUAUCUACAUCUCCAUUGGCCGCUUUUUUUUUGGCGGCAACUUGGAACCCGCAGGCUUACAGGAGUUUUUUUACCUUUGAAACUUGGUUCUUUGUGGGAGUGUGGGUGUACGGACAUGAGCAUAUAUACAAUAAUAAUUGAGA
rnacentral:sRNA from 1 species